UACAGAGGGGGCGAGCGUUAUUCGGAAUUAUUGGGCGUAAAGGGCGCGUAGGCGGCUGCGCAAGUCUCGGGUGAAAUCCCCCGGCUCAACCGAGGAACUGCCCUGGAAACUGCGCGGCUCGAGGCCGGGAGAGGAUGGUGGAAUUCCCAGUGUAGCGGUGAAAUGCGUAGAUAUUGGGAGGAACACCGGUGGCGAAGGCGGCCAUCUGGACCGGUCCUGACGCUGAGGCGCGAAAGCGCGGGGAGCAAACAGG
rnacentral:rRNA from 1 species